rnacentral:lncRNA from 1 species
GGGCCUCAGAUUCCUCUGUGGUGACAUGGAAAUAAUAACAGGGCCGCCCCCUCCUUGAGGAGCUGUGGAAUUAGAGAAUGAGCCUGCACAGAAAUGCCCACGCCUCCAGAAUGGCAACAGUGCCCAGUCCAGGGCUUUCUCAGAUUCCUGAAGAUGGAGCUUGGGAAGAAAGAGAUUGCCUGCUCUCUUAACCCCAGAUGGGAAGGUAGCAGACAGCCCAGCCUGCUCAGCCAUGCUCUCACUGUGGAGGGGACAGUGACUCACCAGUCCUUCUUCACCAGCCUGGCAAGAAUAUCCCUCAACAUCAUCCAACUCCUGUUAUAUCACUUCCAUAGUUACUAAACCCUCCAGUGAACCCUUGCUGCAUCACAGAGGACCCUAAAACCUAGUGGCUUAAAACAACAGCCAUUUUAUUAUCUUUCAUGAUGAUGGGGGUCAGGAAUUAGGGCAGGGCUCAGUUGGGUGAUUCUUCAGCAACACAUGGCAUUGAAUGGGGUCACUUGAUGAUAUUCAUCUAGUAACUGCUCUAGUCUGGAGGAUCCAAGAUGGCCCCACUCCUGUGCCUGGUGCCUUGGCAAGGGAGGCUGGAGGGCUGGCUCAGCAGGGCUUCUCUCCCUUUCCAUGUAGCAUUGUGACCAUUCCACGGGGUCUCUCCAGCAGUGUGGUCCAGCUUCUCACAUGGUGACUUGGAGCUCCAAGGAACCAAGGCAGGAGCCUUUGAAAAGUCUAAGCCUGACACUGGCAUGGCAUCACUUCUGCCAUCCUCCAUUAGUCAAAGCAGCUUGGGCCCAGCCCAGACUCAGGGAAGGGGUAACUGACCCCACUUCUCCAUAGGAGAAGCCUCAAAGUUUCUGUGGUCCUCUUUAAAUGGCCAAGCAAUCUUUGGACCCAGGGCCCAGGCUCCUGGGUAGGUCUGUCUGCCCAUCAGGAAGUUCUGUGCCCAAGGUCAAUCCCAUUACUCACUCCAGACUGAACUUAUGGGCUGAAUUGUUCCCCUCAAAUUCAUAUGUUGAAGUCUCAGGACCUCAGAACGUGACCUUAUUUGGAGAUAGGGCCUUUACAAAGAUAAUCGAGUUAAAAUAAAGCUAUUAGGGUGGGCUUAAUCCAAUCUGACUGUUGUCCUCAUAAGAAGAGGGAAUUUAGACACACAGAGAGACACCAGGGUGUGUGUGCACAAAGGAAAGAUUGUGUCAGGACACAGUGGGAAGGCAAUCAUCUACAAGCCAAGGAAAGAGGCCUCCGAAGAAACCAACCCUGCAGAGACCUUGAUCUUGGACUUCUAGUCUCCAGAACUGUGAGAAAAUAAAAUUUCUGUCGCUUAAGCCCCUCA